GACGAACGCUGGCGGCGUGCUUAACACAUGCAAGUCGAACGAAGAGCGAUGGAAGCUUGCUUCUAUCAAUCUUAGUGGCGAACGGGUGAGUAACGCGUAAUCAACCUGCCCUUCAGAGGGGGACAACAGUUGGAAACGACUGCUAAUACCGCAUACGAUCUAAUCUCGGCAUCGAGGAUAGAUGAAAGGUGGCCUCUACAUGUAAGCUAUCACUGAAGGAGGGGAUUGCGUCUGAUUAGCUAGUUGGAGGGGUAACGGCCCACCAAGGCGAUGAUCAGUGGCCGGUCUGAGAGGAUGAACGGCCACAUUGGGACUGAGACACGGCCCAGACUCCUACGGGAGGCAGCAGUGGGGAAUCUUCCGCAAUGGACGAAAGUCUGACGGAGCAACGCCGCGUGGGUGAUGACGGCCUUCGGGUUGUAAAGCUCUGUUAAUCGGGACGAAAGGCCUUCUUGCGAAUAGUGAGAAGGAUUGACGGUACCGGAAUAGAAAGCCACGGCUAACUACGUG
rnacentral:rRNA from 1 species